GCAGGCUAGCAUUAAUGAGGUACUUUCCCCAAUUCCCAAUAUUAUUAAUUGAUGCAGUAAUUUGAUUAUCACUUCUUGGAUUUCAUGAUAUGAAAAAUACAUCUUUCACUUUGGUGGGCUCUGCCUAAUUUGACUGGAAACUUGCUUCUGGGAAAUUUAAGCCAUACACCUUGGGUGGGAUAGUUGAUUGCUAACUCAUGUUUGUUUUCAUUUUAUAAAGCUACUAGUGCUAGAGAAUCACACUUGCGUUGGCUUUGAGCAUGUGUUGGUGGAAAUUAAUUCAACUUUUCGUUUCUUUCUUUCUUCUUCUUCUU
rnacentral:misc_RNA from 1 species